CCCGAAAUUUCGAACCGGGGAGAUUCAUCGUCAGCGGCGACGGCUCGGUCGCGGCCCGCGAUGCCGGGGACCUCGCGUCCCACGGCACACGGUCGCGCCGCGCCCGUUGUCGCCGGCGUGCACUUCUCCCCUAGUAGAACGUCGCGACCCGUUGGGCGUCGGUCUACGGCCCGGAUUGGUAGCCUGUCCUCGGCGUUCACGCGCCCGGGGGCAGACCGCCGGUUGCCCGGCCGGCUGCCCGGCGGUACUCGCACGGUAUAGAGCCGCAUUGAAAUGCGUCCCGGCCCGCCGCAAGCGCGGUCAGCGAUCACCGGUGGUCGGACCUAGCGCCGUCCCCGGUCCUGGCCAGCUGUUGGCAGGCGGUGUCCUCGGACGGGCUCUCAAUUAAUAUACCGGUCGGCGACGCUAUUGCUUUGGGUACUCUCA
rnacentral:rRNA from 2 species